rnacentral:rRNA from 1 species
GAUGAACGCUAGCUACAGGCUUAACACAUGCAAGUCGAGGGGAAACGACAUCGAAAGCUUGCUUUUGAUGGGCGUCGACCGGCGCACGGGUGAGUAACGCGUAUCCAACCUGCCCAUCACUUGGGGAUAACCUUGCGAAAGUAAGACUAAUACCCAAUGAUAUCUCUAGAAGACAUCUGAAAGAGAUUAAAGAUUUAUCGGUGAUGGAUGGGGAUGCGUCUGACUAGCUUGUUGGCGGGGUAACGGCCCACCAAGGCAACGAUCAGUAGGGGUUCUGAGAGGAAGGUCCCCCACAUUGGAACUGAGACACGGUCCAAACUCCUACGGGAGGCAGCAGUGAGGAAUAUUGGUCAAUGGGCGAGAGCCUGAACCAGCCAAGUAGCGUGCAGGAAGACGGCCCUAUGGGUUGUAAACUGCUUUUAUAAGGGAAUAAAGUGAGAGUCGUGACUCUUUUUGUAUGUACCUUAUGAAUAAGGACCGGCUAAUUCCGUG